UACGGAGGGUGCGAGCGUUGUCCGGAAUCAUUGGGCGUAAAGGGCGCGUAGGUGGCUUCUCAAGCGUGCGGUGAAAGCCUGGGGCUCAACCCCGGGUCGGCCGUGCGAACUGGGGGGCUUGAGCACUGUAGAGGCAGGCGGAAUUCCGGGUGUAGCGGUGGAAUGCGUAGAGAUCCGGAAGAACACCGGUGGCGAAGGCGGCCUGCUGGGCAGUGGCUGACGCUGAGGCGCGACAGCGUGGGGAGCAAACAGG
rnacentral:rRNA from 1 species